UACGAAGGGGGCUAGCGUUGCUCGGAAUCACUGGGCGUAAAGCGCACGUAGGCGGCUUUUUAAGUCAGAGGUGAAAUCCUGGAGCUCAACUCCAGAACUGCCUUUGAUACUGGAGAGCUUGAGUCCGGGAGAGGUGAGUGGAACUGCGAGUGUAGAGGUGAAAUUCGUAGAUAUUCGCAAGAACACCAGUGGCGAAGGCGGCUUUCUGGACGAUAACUGACGCUGAGACGCGAAAGCGUGGGGAGCAAACAGG
rnacentral:rRNA from 1 species